GUGUCAGCCGCCGCGGUAAUACGUAGGGUGCAAGCGUUAAUCGGAAUUACUGGGCGUAAAGCGUGCGCAGGCGGUUCUAUAAGACAGAUGUGAAAUCCCCGGGCUCAACCUGGGAACUGCAUUUGUGACUGUAGAGCUAGAGUACGGUAGAGGGGGAUGGAAUUCCGCGUGUAGCAGUGAAAUGCGUAGAUAUGCGGAGGAACACCGAUGGCGAAGGCAAUCCCCUGGACCUGUACUGACGCUCAUGCACGAAAGCGUGGGGAGCAAACAGGAUUAGAUACCCUGGUAGUCCACGCCCUAAACGAUGUCAACUGGUUGUUGGGAGGGUUUCUUCUCAGUAACGAAGCUAACGCGUGAAGUUGACCGCCUGGGGAGUACGGCCGCAAGGUUGAAACUCAAAGAAAUUGACGG
rnacentral:rRNA from 1 species